AACGAACGCUGGCGGCAGGCUUAACACAUGCAAGUCGAACGCCCCGCAAGGGGAGUGGCAGACGGGUGAGUAACGCGUGGGAAUCUACCCAGAUCUACGGAACAACAGUUGGAAACGACUGCUAAUACCGUAUACGCCCUACGGGGGAAAGAUUUAUCGGAUUUGGAUGAGCCCGCGUUGGAUUAGCUAGUUGGUGGGGUAAUGGCCUACCAAGGCGACGAUCCAUAGCUGGUCUGAGAGGAUGAUCAGCCAAACUGGGACUGAGACACGGCCCAGACUCCUACGGGAGGCAGCAGUGGGGAAUAUUGGACAAUGGGCGCAAGCCUGAUCCAGCCAUGCCGCGUGAGUGAUGAUGGCCUUAGGGUUGUAAAGCUCUUUCAGUAGGGAAGAAAAUGACGGUACCUACAGAAGAAGCCCCGGCUAACUUCGUGCCAGCAGCCGCCGUAAAAC
rnacentral:rRNA from 1 species